GUGAUUUUUGUUCAGUUGGCGGUGGAGAUAAGUCCGAUGACGUACUGGACUGUGCCCGGCUGUAUAUGAAACCUGAAAAAAAUUGCAAUAGUAUGUUCAUUAAACAACCGUCAAAUAAGACACAGUCUGUCAACAAACACGAAACCGAUAUCACUUUGGACACUCGCUUGUAAGUUUUGUUUUGUUCGGAUGAUUGGACGAUUCAAUCCUACUUGACGUCAUAUUUUGUUCGACAUCUGAAUCCGAAUCGUCAAUAUUGUGUGCAGAAUGUUUUUCGUACAAAUCUUGAGCCGAUCUGUCG